rnacentral:rRNA from 1 species
CAUAGGUUAAUGAGGCGAACCGGGGGAACUGAAACAUCUAAGUACCCCGAGGAAAAGAAAUCAACCGAGAUUCCCCCAGUAGCGGCGAGCGAACGGGGAGGAGCCCAGAGCCUGAAUCAGCAUGUGUGUUAGUGGAAGCGUCUGGAAAGGCGCGCGAUACAGGGUGACAGCCCCGUACACAAAAGCGCAUGUGCUGUGAGCUCGAUGAGUAGGGCGGGACACGUGGUAUCCUGUCUGAAUAUGGGGGGACCAUCCUCCAAGGCUAAAUACUCCUGACUGACCGAUAGUGAACCAGUACCGUGAGGGAAAGGCGAAAAGAACCCCGGCGAGGGGAGUGAAAAAGAACCUGAAACCGUGUACGUACAAGCAGUGGGAGCCCCACCACUAAGCCAGUGGUGAACUC